AGUGCUCUUUUUGCUUUGAAUACUGAUUAAUUUACUUAACUAAGUGAACUUAUUCUCCGGAAACCUGAAUGAAACCACAAAUGCUGAGGACUGGAGACUCAGAUGUCUCAAAAUUCCAAAGCUUACUUCUUGUGCAACUAAUUUGAAUCUGGAGCAUUUUGGGAUUUCAGAUUUUGAAAUGAUGGCUGAGAACGAAUGAUAUGGCGUAAUCUCAAAAUUACUCUUCUG